UUAUUGUAAAUAAAGUUCAGUCAAAAAUCUUACGGUCUCUGUACUUUCGAGUAGACCGACUCUCGCAUAUAAAAUGAGCUGUACAGCACAGCUGUGGCACACCACACAUAGUAAAUCUGGUGUCGUCGUAAAGCUGAGAUCCAGGACAAUUCACCUGAAACAAAAUAAUACCCUUCUAAGUACCAUGUGGUUGCCUACAUGCUCAAAAGUGUUCGCGGUGGUAAUCAAUUUAUUGAAAUACAUUGAAUCAAUCAAACAAACCAAAUUAUGUUCGAGAUAUUUGGCCAUUUUUAGUGAAUAAAAGGUCCUAGAAUACGAAAUUAACAACAAAGAGUCAGAACAUAUAUCCAUCUUAGCUUUCAACAUUAAAUAAAUGAACUAAAGUACCUACUCACUAGAAAAUGUUCUUGUAACAUCGCUCGUAUAAACACAAAUAUAGAAAGUGUGGUAUCGUUCGACAGGUAAUUGAACAGUCUUUAAUUUAAACUGUAUGGUACUGUGUGCACGUUGACACUGCUGUGCAGGGGAGACGUUUUACCCGUUACAAUAUGGUUUUUCAAAAAUAUUUCAAAUUGCCGUCCACUUUCCGAUCACUUGCCCUGAUUUAUGAUCAGUGGACAUCGACUAACAUUUAUCUACAAUAAAAUUUGAGUUACAUUACACUUUUAAUUAGCCAUCAUUCAAGCCCACCGUGAAAAAUUGUAUGAAAUUUACCGGUAAAAAU